AUUGAACGCUGGCGGCAUGCUUUACACAUGCAAGUCGAACGGUAACAGGGAGCUUGCUCCGCUGACGAGUGGCGAACGGGUGAGUAAUGCGUCGGAACGUGCCGAGUAGUGGGGGAUAACGCAUCGAAAGGUGUGCUAAUACCGCAUACGUACUGAGGUAGAAAGUGGGGGACCUUCGGGCCUCACGCUAUUCGAGCGGCCGACGUCUGAUUAGCUAGUUGGUGGGGUAAAGGCCUACCAAGGCGACGAUCUGUAGCGGGUCUGAGAGGAUGAUCCGCCACACUGGGACUGAGAAACGGCCCAGACUCCUACGGGAGGCAGCAGUGGGGAAUAUUGGACAAUGGGGGGAACCCUGAUCCAGCCAUGCCGCGUGUGUGAAGAAGGCCUUUUGGUUGUAAAGCACUUUAAGCGAGGAGGAGGCUACCGAGAUUAAUACUCUUGGAUAGUGGACGUUACUCGCAGAAUAAGCACCGGCUAACUCUGUGCCAGCCGCCGCCGUAAGAC
rnacentral:rRNA from 1 species